AUGGACGGUCCUCGACCUUUGCACCAAGCUUCCCUAAACCCCCUCACCUUUCAAAAGCUUCACUAAACCCCCUGACCUUUAUGGCGGCGCCAUUCACGGCCCUUCUGAAGAAAAAAAACACAGAAUCGCGGCGCCGCCAACGAUUUAAUCGUUUGCAUGCGUUUUCCUCGCCACCUGUCGACCCACGUGACCUGUCCUCUGUCAGUGGCAACAGUUCCUCCCUCUGACAUGCCGGUUGACUUUUCAAAUUUUAAAAUCAAAAAAAAAAAAAUUAACCGCUCGGUAACUUUUAUCUCUCUUUCAUCUUCUUUCUGACAUACUCUUUCAUCCUUCUCUUCCCUUUUUUCUUCUGAAACUCCUUCUCUUCCCUUUUUUCUUCUGAAACUCUCAUUUUCACACCGCCAUUGUUUUUUCGAUUGCCUGUUCAUCUUCCGUGUGUGUUUUUGCAUUGUGAAGAAGAAAAAAUAACGAAGGAACAAAACAUAAAUUUAGAGUUUUUAUAGUGAAAGAAUUACAAAAAUGAGAAAGAAAGGAAAAGGAAAAUCAAAGGAAAGAGAACGAACGGGACCACCUGGAACUGCUGGAUGGGGUUUAAUGGAUGAGAGCGAUAGUGACGAAGUGGUGGAAGGUAUGUAGGACCACAUAGUACUUUGGUUUCUGUAAAUGUUUGUUAUUCUAUGCUUUGAUUUAUUAGCCGCUUUUGGACAUAGGACUACAAGUUGCUUUAUGUUUGUUUACUGCUGUAGGACCACUAGUUGGUUUGAUUUGUUUAAUCUUUGUACGAGUUGUUUAUUGUUUUCACGUUUCUGUUGGUUGGCAUUUACUA